rnacentral:rRNA from 1 species
ACGCUGGCGGAACGCUUUACACAUGCAAGUCGAACGGUAACGCGGAGAGAAGCUUGCUUCUCUCCGGCGACGAGUGGCGAACGGGUGAGUAAUACAUCGGAACGUGUCCGCUCGUGGGGGACAACCAGCCGAAAGGUUGGCUAAUACCGCAUGAGUUCUACGGAAGAAAGAGGGGGACCCGCAAGGGCCUCUCGCGAGCGGAGCGGCCGAUGACUGAUUAGCCGGUUGGUGAGGUAACGGCUCACCAAAGCAACGAUCAGUAGCUGGUCUGAGAGGACGACCAGCCACACUGGGACUGAGACACGGCCCAGACUCCUACGGGAGGCAGCAGUGGGGAAUUUUGGACAAUGGGCGCAAGCCUGAUCCAGCUAUUCCGCGUGUGGGAUGAAGGCCCUCGGGUUGUAAACCACUUUUGUAGAGAACGAAAAGACACCUUCGAAUAAAGGGUGUUGCUGACGGUACUCUAAGAAUAAGCACCGGCUAACUACGUGCCAGCAGCCGCGGUAAUACGUAGGGUGCGAGCGUUAAUCGGAAUUACUGGGCGUAAAGGGUGCGCAGGCGGUUGAGUAAGACAGAUGUGAAAUCCCCGAGCUUAACUCGGGAAUGGCAUAUGUGACUGCUCGACUAGAGUGUGUCAGAGGGAGGUGGAAUUCCACGUGUAGCAGUGAAAUGCGUAGAUAUGUGGAAGAACGCCGAUGGCGAAGGCAGCCUCCUGGGACAUAACUGACGCUCAGGCACGAAAGCGUGGGGAGCAAACAGGAUUAGAUACCCUGGUAGUCCACGCCCUAAACGAUGUUAACUAGUUGUUGGGAAGUAAAAUUCUCAGUAACGCAGCCAACGCGAGAAGUUAACCGCCUGGGAAGUACGGUCGCAAGACUAAAACUCAAAGGAAUUGACGGGGACCCGCACAAGCGGUGGAUGAUGUGGAUUAAUUCGAUGCAACGCGAAAAACCUUACCUACCCUUGACAUGUCAGGAAGCUCUUGUAAUGAGAGUGCGCCCGCAAGGGAGCCUGAACACAGGUGCUGCAUGGCUGUCGUCAGCUCGUGUCGUGAGAUGUUGGGUUAAGUCCCGCAACGAGCGCAACCCUUGUCACUAGUUGCUACGAAAGGGCACUCUAGUGAGACUGCCGGUGACAAACCGGAGGAAGGUGGGGAUGACGUCAAGUCCUCAUGGCCCUUAUGGGUAGGGCUUCACACGUCAUACAAUGGUCGGAACAGAGGGCAGUGAAGUCGUGAGACGGAGCCAAUCCCAGAAAACCGAUCGUAGUCCGGAUUGCAGUCUGCAACUCGACUGCAUGAAGUCGGAAUCGCUAGUAAUCGCAGAUCAGAAUGCUGCGGUGAAUACGUUCCCGGGUCUUGUACACACCGCCCGUCACACCAUGGGAGUCAGUAACGCCCGAAGUCAGUGACCCAACCGAAAGGAGGGAGCUGCCGAAGGUGGGACCGAUAACUGGGG